GGAACCGCCAGGAAUUGGUGAACAUAAAGAUUCAGAUUUGGGUCAUAUUUUAGGAUGAAGAGCAGGAGCAGCUGCUGCCAGGAAAGGAAACUGCAGGAGCCGGAGGGACACGCAUGAGGGAGUGCGAAGAUGCAGGCUUUCACUGCUGAUGACCUUGGCUUCUAGCACAUCCCAUGCUCAGAGUAACUGCUUCUAGAGCUGGAAGGCAUGGGGGCUGAAUCUGUGCAUCGCAUUUAAGGCUCAGGGAGGGAAAAAUAUCUGCCCUGCUUAACAAGCUCAGUGAAAAAUUGGUUAAUUUCUACUUAUGUUUACUCCAACCUCAUGCGGGAAAAAUACUUUCAGGAAUUAUUUUAUUCCUUAAAAAAAGACCUACUCCUCCAUAGCUAUUAGAGGGACACAGGUCAGUACUUGUCUUGUCUCCCCUUUUGCUCUCUGCUGUUUCACACCCUCUUGAAAGCAUUUUGCUCUGUGUCAUUACUGAUGGACCGUUGCUCUUGUUUUUACCACUCCGUAGGUGCAGCCCUUUUUCUCAGGAGUGAUACGACAGAAUGGUUUACCUUGGUGCAGUUUCCUCUCCAACCACCUCCUUGUCAAGAAUAAGACCUGUUUAGGUGGCUGGUGCUGUUUCAGUUAGCUAUGUAGUGGCAUUAGCAGCUGUGUGUAAAACUUUCCGGUUUCUUUUGGAAACCUUACCCAGCGGGUGGAAGAUAUUGCCAAAAAUGGAGAGUUAAACUAAAUAAAAUUAACUAAGUCCUCAAAAAACCCUGUCUGCCUUUCUGCAGUGAUGACCUUUGCAUAGACUCAGGAAAACCAUUCAUACUCAAUUUUGUUCUUUGGUGCAGCUGCGUACAAACUGAGUUGGAAAACUGCUAAAUAAAAAUGACAAGAAUCAACUCUUCUGCUAACCGCGUUAUCAGGUGACCGCAGUAGAAGGGAGGUGGUGAAGAAUCACACCCCAGGAAUGCCCUCGGGAGCUGCUCGUGUCUGAGGCCGGUAUGUGUCACCGUAACAUAGCGAUAUCCCUCCCUUUUCUUGUAACAGCAUCCUAACCGUGCCUUUGAAAGAGCUGAAGUCUUUUAGACCA